AUAAUCACACACGAUGCAACCCUUGCACACAGAAAAACACACAAUGCAUUACACACACAGAAACACAUACACAAGCAAUGCAACCCUUACACAUAAUGCAUCCCUUACACACACAGAAACACACAAUGCGUUCAUUACACACACUCAGUGCACCCCUUACACACACUCAAUGCAUCCCUUACAGACACACACACUGCAUCCCGUACAUACACAGAAACACACCUUGCAGCCCUUACACAUACAAACACAGAUUCACACAAUGCAUUCCUUACACACAUAUCAGGACAUCCCCUACACACUCCACCCCCUGUGAACAAACUCAUUGGUGGAACAUGAAGGUGGACCCUGGGACCCAGACCUUGAGCUGUGUAAAGGGCCCCCCAAAAAAUGGAGCUGCUUCCCGUUCUCCCAGAACAUUGAUUUUGUGACCAC